rnacentral:rRNA from 1 species
CCUGGGCGGCUGCAGUGAGGAAGAUGGGUCAAUGGGCGGAAGCCUGAACCAGCGAAGUAGCGCGUAGGAUGACGGUGCUACGGGUUGUAAACUGCUUUUAUACGGGAAGAACGCGCCUUACGUGUAGGGCUUUGCAUGUACCGUAUGAAUAAGGACCGGCUAAUUCCGUGCCAGCAGCCGCGGUAAUACGGAAGGUCCGGGCGGUAUCCGGAUUUAUUGGGUUUAAAGGGAGCGUAGGCCGCAUGUCAAGCGUGCUGUGAAAUGUCCGGGCUCAACCCGGGCCUUGCAGCGCGAACUGGCGUGCUUGCGUCCGCGUCAAGCAGGCGGAAUUCGUCGUGUAGCGGUGAAAUGCUUCGAUAUGACGAAGAACCCCGAUUGCGAAGGCAGCUUGCUGCAGCGGAACUGACGCUGAUGCUCGACAGCGCGGGUAUCGAACAGGAUUAGAUACCCCGGUAGUC